CCCUUAGAUGUCCUGGGCUGCACGCGCGCUACACUGAUGUGUCCAGUAAGCACCUAACCUCUUCCGAAAGGAACGGGUAACCUUUGCAAAGCACAUCGUGAUGGGGAUAGAUUAUUGCAAUUAUUAGUCUUGAACGAGGAAUUCCUAGUAAGCACAAGUCAACAGCUUGUGUUGAUUACGUCCCUGCCCUUUGUACACACCGCCCGUCGCUCCUACCGAUUGAAUGUUCCGGUGAGCUCUUCGGACUGCGCGGUCUGCAGUUUCUGCGUUCCGUGCGGAAAGUUGCGCAAACCUUAACAUUUAGAGGAAGGAGAAGUCGUAACA
rnacentral:rRNA from 1 species